rnacentral:rRNA from 1 species
UUGGUAGGGGAGCGUCGUGUAUAGGGAGAAGCAUGAGCGAGAGCACAUGUGGACAGUACACGAGUGAGAAUGCCGGAAUGAGUAGCGAGAAUUAUGUGGGAAUCAUAAUGGCCGAAAAUCUAAGGUUUCUUGGGGAAGGUUCGUCCGCCCAAGGUAAGCCGGGAGCUAAGGCGAGGCCGAAAGGCGUAGUCGAUGCACAUACGGUUGAAAUUCCGUAGCCGCCGAAAUUGUUAAGCACAGGGACACAUAGAGAUAUCCGAACCCGGGCGUUGGUUGACCCGGGCGCAAGGGACCGAACAUCAGUAGGGAAGUCGGAGAUGCUCUGUGGCGAGAAAAGCUGUGUGUAUUGAUUAGGCGCCCGUACCGCAAACCGACACAGGUAGAUGAGGAGAGAAUCCUAAGGCCAACGGGAGAAGGGUUGUUAAGGAACUCGGCAAAUUGACCCCGUAACUUCGGGAUAAGGGGAGCCUCCUACGGGAGGCCGCAGUGAAUAGGCCCAAGCAACUGUUUACCAAAAACACAGGUCUCUGCUAAAUCGAAAGAUGACGUAUAGGGGCUGACGCCUGCCCGGUGCCGGAAGGUUAAGAGGAGAGCUUAGCGCAAGCGAAGGUUCGAAUUGAAGCCCCGGUAAACGGCGGCCGUAACGAUAACGGUCCUAAGGUAGCGAAAUUCCUUGUCAGGUAAGUUCUGACGCGCACGAAUGGCGUAAUGAUUUGGGCACUGUCUCAACAGCCCGCCCGGCGAAAUUGUAGUACUGGUGAAGAUGCCAGUUACCCGCAACUAGACGGAAAGACCCCAUGGAGCUUUACUGUAGCCUAAUACUGAAGAUCGGUAAUGCAUGUACAGGAUAGGUGGGAGCCAGCGAAACCCGGGCGUCAGCUCGGAUGGAGGCAACCUUGGAAUACCACCCUUGUAUUGCUGGUUUUCUAACCUGCGGCCAUGAAUCUGGUCGGGGGACACUGUUAGGUGGGCAGUUUGACUGGGGCGGUCGCCUCCAAAAGCGUAACGGAGGCGCUCAAAGGUUGGCUCAGCACGGACGGAAAUCGUGCAUAGAGUGCAAACGCAUAAGCCAACUUGACUGCGAGACCGACGGGUCGAGCAGGUACGAAAGUAGGAGUUAGUGAUCCGGUGGUAUGUGAGUGGAAAUGCCAUCGCUCAACGGAUAAAAGCUACCCUGGGGAUAACAGGCUGAUCUCCCCCAAGCGUCCACAGCGACGGGGAGGUUUGGCACCUCGAUGUCGGCUCGUCACAUCCUGGGGCUGUAUUCGGUCCCAAGGGUUCGGCUGUUCGCCGAUUAAAGUGGCACGCGAGCUGGGUUCAGAACGUCGUGAGACAGUUCGGUCCCUAUCUGUUGCGGGCGCAGGAGAUUUGAAGGGAGCUGUCCUUAGUACGAGAGGACCGGGAUGGACAGACCUCUGGUGCACCAGUUGUCGUGCCAACGGCACAGCUGGGUAGCUACGUCUGGACGAGAUAAACGCUGAAAGCAUCUAAGUGUGAAACUCCCCCUAAGAUAAGAUCUCCCAUCCAUUAGGAGUAAGGGACGACAGAGACUAUGUCGUUGAUAGGUCGGAAGUGUAAGUGCAGUAAUGCAUUGAGCUGACCGAUACUAAUAACCCGAGGGCUUGACCA